ensembl:lncRNA
GCGGUUAGAGGGUAGGGGAGGCAGGUAGCCUAGUGGUUAGAGGGUAGGGGUGGCAGGUAGCCUAGCGGUUAGAGCUUAGGGGUGGCAGGUAGCUUAGUGAUGAGAACGUAGGAGUGGCAGGUAGCUUAGUGGUUAGAAGGUAGGGGUGGCAGGUAGCCUCGCGGUUAGAGCAUAUGUGUGGCAGGUAGCCUAGCAGUUAGACCAUAGGCGUGGCAGGUAGCCUAGUGGUUAAAGCAUAUUGGUGGCAGGUAGCCUAGCAGUUAGAGAGUAGGGGUGGCAGGUAGCCUAGCGGUUAGAGCUUAGCGGUGGCAGGUAGCUUAGUGAUGAGAGUGUAGGAGUGGCAGGUAGCUUAGUGGUUAGAAGGUAGGGGUGUCAGGUAGCCUCGCGAAUAGAGGGUAGGGGUGGCAGGUAGUCUAGUGGUCAGAGGGUAGCGGUGGCAGAAGGUAGGGGUGGCAGGUAGCCUCGCGAAUAGAGGGUAGGGGUGGCAGGUAGUCUAGUGGUCAGAGGGUAGCGGUGGCAGGUAUCCUAGUGAUGAGAGCGUAGGAGUGGCAGGUAGCCUAGUUGUUAGAGCGUAGGGGUGGCAGGUAGUCUAGCGGUUAGAGGGUAGCAGUGGCAGGUAACCUGGCGGUUAGAUGGUAGGGGUGGCAGGUAGCCUAGUGGUUAGAGGGUAGGGGUGGCAGGUAACCUAGCGGUUAGAGGGUAGGGGUGGCAGGUAGCCUAGUGGUUAGAGGGUAACAGUGGCAGGUAACCUAGCGGUUAGAGGGUAGGGGAGGCAGGUAGCCUAGUGGUGAGAGGGUAACAGUGGCAGGUAACCUAGCGGUUAGAGGGUAGGGGAGGCAGGUAGCCUAGUGGUUAGAGGGUAGGGGUAGCGGGUAGCCUAGUGGUUAGAGAGUAGUGGUGGCAGGUAACCUAGCGGUUAGAGUGUAGGGGUGGCAGGUAGCCUAGCUGUUAGAGAAUAAGGGUG